GAUGAACGCUGGCGGCGUGCCUAAUACAUGCAAGUCGAGCGAACAGACGAGGAGCUUGCUCCUCUGACGUUAGCGGCGGACGGGUGAGUAACACGUGGAUAACCUACCUAUAAGACUGGGAUAACUUCGGGAAACCGGAGCUAAUACCGGAUAAUAUAUUUAACCGCAUGGUUCAAUAGUGAAAGACGGUUUUGCUGUCACUUAUAGAUGGAUCCGCGCCGCAUUAGCUAGUUGGUAAGGUAACGGCUUACCAAGGCGACGAUGCGUAGCCGACCUGAGAGGGUGAUCGGCCACACUGGAACUGAGACACGGACCAGACUCCUACGGGAGGCAGCAGUAGGGAAUAUUCCGCAAUGGGCGAAAGCCUGACGGAGCAACGCCGCGUGAGUGAUGAAGGUCUUCGGAUCGUAAAACUCUGUUAUUAGGGAAGAACAAAUGUGUAAGUAACUAUGCACGUCUUGACGGUACCUAAUCAGAAAGCAACGGCUAACUACGUG
rnacentral:rRNA from 1 species